GACGAACGCUGGCGGCGGGCUUAACACAUGCAAGUCGAACGGAAAGGCCCUGCUUGUGUGGGGUGCUGGAGUGGCGAACGGGUGAGUAACACGUGAGUAACCUGCCCUUGACUUUGGGAUAACUUCAGGAAACUGGGGCUAAUACCGGAUAGGAUCUCCUGCUGGGUGGAGGGCGUUGGAAAGUUGCGGCGGGUGUGGAUGGACUCGCGGCUUAUCAGCUUGCUGGUGGGGGAGUGGCUUACCAAGGCAUGGAAGGGUAGCCGGCCGGAGAGGGUGACCGGCCACCUUGGGACUGAGAUACGGCCCAGACUCCUACGGGAGGCAGCAGUGGGGAAUAUUGCACAAUGGGCGGAAGCCUGAUGCAGAAACGCCGCGUGCGGGAUGCCGGCCUUCUGGUUGUAAACCGCUUUCGCCUGUGACGCAGCGUGAGUGACGGUAAUGGGUAAAGAAGCACCGGCUAACUACGUG
rnacentral:rRNA from 1 species